rnacentral:rRNA from 1 species
GACGAACGCUGGCGGCGUGCUUAACACAUGCAAGUCGAACGGAAAGGCCCUGCUUUUGUGGAGUGCUCGAGUGGCGAACGGGUGAGUAACACGUGAGUAACCUGCCCUUGACUUUGGGAUAACUUCAGGAAACUGGGGCUAAUACCGGAUAGGAGCUCCUGCUGCAUGGUGGGGGUUGGAAAGUUUCGGCGGUUGGGGAUGGACUCGCGGCUUAUCAGCUUGUUGGUGGGGUAGUGGCUUACCAAGGCUUUGACGGGUAGCCGGCCUGAGAGGGUGACCGGCCACAUUGGGACUGAGAUACGGCCCAGAAUCCUACGGGAGGCAGCAGUGGGGAAUAGUGCACAAUGGGCGGAAGCCUGAUGCAGCAACGCCGCGUGCGGGAUGACGGCCUUCGGGUUGUAAACCGCGUUCGCCUGUGACGAAGCGUGAGUGACGGUAAUGGGUAAAGAAGCACCGGAUAACUACGUG